ensembl:snoRNA SNORD24 Small nucleolar RNA SNORD24
UGCAGAUGAUGUUACCAAUAUUUGCUAUCUUAACAGCAUUGCAGACAACCUUCCACCAAGAUCGCUGAUGCA